UACAGAGGUGGCAAGCGUUGUUCGGAAUUACUGGGCGUAAAGGGCGCGUAGGCGGCCCACUAAGUCAGACGUGAAAUCCCCCGGCUUAACCUGGGAACUGCGUCUGAUACUGGAGGGCUUGAGUAUGGGAGAGGGAUGUAGAAUUCCAGGUGUAGCGGUGAAAUGCGUAGAUAUCUGGAGGAACACCGGUGGCGAAGGCGACGUCCUGGACCGGUAUUGACGCUGAGGCGCGAAAGCCAGGGGAGCAAACGGG
rnacentral:rRNA from 1 species